rnacentral:rRNA from 1 species
GAUUGAACGCUGGCGGCAUGCCUUACACAUGCAAGUCGGACGGCAGCGCGGGCUUCGGCCUGGCGGCGAGUGGCGAACGGGUGAGUAAUACAUCGGAACGUGUCCUGUAGUGGGGGAUAGCCCGGCGAAAGCCGGAUUAAUACCGCAUACGAUCUACGGAGGAAAGCGGGGGAUCUUCGGACCUCGCGCUGUAGGGGCGGCCGAUGGCAGAUUAGCUAGUUGGUGGGGUAAAGGCCUACCAAGGCGACGAUCUGUAGCUGGUCUGAGAGGACGACCAGCCACACUGGGACUGAGACACGGCCCAGACUCCUACGGGAGGCAGCAGUGGGGAAUUUUGGACAAUGGGGGCAACCCUGAUCCAGCAAUGCCGCGUGUGUGAAGAAGGCCUUCGGGUUGUAAAGCACUUUUGUCCGGAAAGAAAACUUCGUCCCUAAUAUGGAUGGAGGAUGACGGUACCGGAAGAAUAAGCACCGGCUAACUACGU